CCUACGGGUGGCAGCAGUGAGGAAUAUUGGUCAAUGGACGCAAGUCUGAACCAGCCAAGUAGCGUGCAGGAUGACGGCCCUCCGGGUUGUAAACUGCUUUUAGUUGGGAAUAAAAGGGGGCUCGUGAGCCCCGUAUUGUAUGUACCAUCAGAAAAAGGACCGGCUAACUCCGUGCCAGCAGCCGCGGUAAUACGGAGGGUGCGAGCGUUAAUCGGAAUUACUGGGCGUAAAGCGCUCGUAGGCGGUAUGUCAAGUCAAGGGUGAAAUCCCCGCGCUCAACGUGGGAACUGCCUUUGAAACUGGCAAACUGGAGUGUGUGAGAGGAUAGUGGAAUUCCAGGUGUAGGAGUGAAAUCCGUAGAUAUCUGGAGGAACAUCAGUGGCGAAGGCGACUAUCUGGCACAUAACUGACGCUGAGGAGCGAAAGCGUGGGUAGCAAACAGGAUUAGAUACCCCUGUAGUC
rnacentral:rRNA from 1 species